UUUAACUGAAGAGUUUGAUCAUGGCUCAGAUUGAACGCUGGCGGCAGGCUUAACACAUGCAAGUCGAGCGGGGGAAGGUAGCUUGCUACCGGACCUAGCGGCGGACGGGUG
rnacentral:rRNA from 1 species